rnacentral:rRNA from 1 species
UCAGGCCUAACACAUGCAAGUCGAGCGGGGGAGCAAUCCCUAGCGGCGGACGGGUGAGUAACGCGUGGGAACGUGCCCUUUGCUUCGGAAUAGCCCCGGGAAACUGGGAGUAAUACCGAAUGUGCUCUUCGGAGGAAAGAUUUAUCGGCAAAGGAUCGGCCCGCGUUGGAUUAGGUAGUUGGUGGGGUAAUGGCCUACCAAGCCGACGAUCCAUAGCUGGUUUGAGAGGAUGAUCAGCCACACUGGGACUGAGACACGGCCCAGACUCCUACGGGAGGCAGCAGUGGGGAAUCUUAGACAAUGGGCGCAAGCCUGAUCUAGCCAUGCCGCGUGAGCGAAGAGAGGCCUUAGGGUUGUAAAGCUCUUUCGUGGGGAAGAUA